UUAAGUACUAACUUUAUUAUUAAUGAAGCUUUUAAAGUAAAAACUAAAAUGCAACUUUUUGAAAAUAAAAGAUAAUUCCAUAUCCUGAAGCAGCAUCUUGACCCUAGCAACACAUAAAGCCAGUGGAGCUUUUGGGGAAAAAAAAUACAGAUGUUUGUGCUCUAGCUCUGGAAAUUGAAACUCAGAAAAUCUGAGAUGAGAUAUAGGCAUCUAAAUCUUCUUUGAACAAACUCCAUGAGUAGUGGUAAGAACAGCUAGAGUUAACUAUUACCUCAGAUACUAAUAUUUCAAAAAGAUGACAAGCCAAGAUGAUAGUAAAUUUGCCAUUUUGUUCACAUGAUAGGAAAAAAAUGAAGAAAGUCUGGGAUAGAGCUGUUGACUUCCUUGCUGCUAAUGAGUCUAGAGUUCGCACGGAAACACGAAGAAUAGGUGGUGCAGAUUUUCUGGUUUGGCGGUGGAUCCAGCCUUCUGCAUCCUGUGACAAAAUAUUAGUUAUACCUUCUAAAGUAUGGCAAGGUCAAGCAUUUCAUUUAGAUAGAAGAAAUUCACCACCAAAUAGUUUGACACCGUGUCUAAAGAUUCGGAAUAUGUUUGAUCCCGUUAUGGAAAUAGGGGAUCAGUGGCAUUUGGCAAUUCAAGAAGCAA
rnacentral:lncRNA from 1 species